UACGGGGGGGCAAGCGUUGUUCGGAAUUACUGGGCGUAAAGGGCUCGUAGGCGGCCAACUAAGUCAGACGUGAAAUCCCUCGGCUUAACCGGGGAACUGCGUCCGAUACUGGCAGGCUGGAAUCCGGGAGAGGGAUGUGGAAUUCCAGGUGUAGCGGUGAAAUGCGUAGAUAUCUGGAGGAACAUCAGUGGCGAAGGCGGCCUUCUGGUCCAGUACUGACACUCAAGUGCGAAAGCGUGGGGGAGCAAACAGG
rnacentral:rRNA from 1 species